UCGGGAAUUUUGGGCAAUGGGCGAAAGCCUGACCCAGCAACGCCGCGUGAAGGAUGAAGUAUUUCGGUAUGUAAACUUCGUAAGAAUAGGAAGAAUAAAUGACGGUACUAUUUGUAAGGUCCGGCUAACUACGUGCCAGCAGCCGCGGUAAUACGUAGGGACCAAGCGUUGUUCGGAUUUACUGGGCGUAAAGGGCGCGUAGGCGGUGUGUCAAGUCAGUUGUGAAAUCUCCGAGCUUAACUCGGAACGGUCAACUGAUACUGUCACACUAGAGUACAGAAGGGGCAAUCGGAAUUCUUGGUGUAGCGGUGAAAUGCGUAGAUAUCAAGAGGAACACCUGAGGCGAAGGCGGGUUGCUGGGCUGAUACUGACGCUGAGGCGCGAAAGCUAGGGUAGCAAACGGGAUUAGAUACCCACGUAGUCCCUGAGCGGGCUGGCAAGGCGCAU
rnacentral:rRNA from 1 species